rnacentral:tRNA from 1 species
GGAGGGGUGGCCGAGUGGCUGAAGGCGCACGCUUGGAAAGCGUGUAUGCGGGGAACCGUAUCGAGGGUUCGAAUCCCUCUCCCUCCGCCA